UACAGAGGUCCCAAGCGUUGUUCGGAUUCACUGGGCGUAAAGGGUGCGUAGGCGGUUGGGUAAGUCUGACGUGAAAUCUCCGGGCCUAACCCGGAAACUGCGUUGGAUACUAUCCGGCUAGAGGAAUGGAGGGGAGACUGGAAUACUUGGUGUAGCAGUGAAAUGCGUAGAUAUCAAGUGGAACACCAGUGGCGAAGGCGAGUCUCUGGACAUUUCCUGACGCUGAGGCGCGAAAGCGUGGGGAGCAAACAGG
rnacentral:rRNA from 1 species